rnacentral:misc_RNA from 1 species
CCCAAUGUGGGAGCUGGCUUGCCUGCGAUGGCGGUGGUGAAUAUUCCACCGCUAUCGCAGGCAAGCCAGCUCCCACACCGAC